GCCGGAUUAGCUCAAUGGCAGAGCCACGUCUUUGUAACUCGUAGAUGAGGGUUCGAUUCCUUCACCCGGCUCCA
rnacentral:tRNA from 1 species